AUUGAACGCUGGCGGCAUGCUUUACACAUGCAAGUCGAACGGUAACAGGCCGCAAGGUGCUGACGAGUGGCGAACGGGUGAGUAAUGCAUCGGAACGUGCCCAGUCGUGGGGGAUAACGCAGCGAAAGCUGCGCUAAUACCGCAUACGAUCUAUGGAUGAAAGCGGGGGACCGUAAGGCCUCGCGCGAUUGGAGCGGCCGAUGUCAGAUUAGGUAGUUGGUGGGGUAAAGGCUCACCAAGCCAACGAUCUGUAGCUGGUCUGAGAGGACGACCAGCGAAACUGGGCCUGAGACACGGCCCAGACUCCUACGGGAGGCAGCAGUGGGGAAUUUUGGACAAUGGGCGCAAGCCUGAUCCAGCAAUGCCGCGUGCAGGAAGAAGGCCUUCGGGUUGUGAACUGCUUUUGUACGGAACGAAACGGUCCUGGUUAAUACCUGGGGCUAAUGACGGUACCGUAAGAAUAAGCACCGGCUAACUACGUGCCAGCCGCCGCGGUAACAC
rnacentral:rRNA from 1 species